CAAAAAUGUUUUGCAUGCUGCUGCAUAAAUUAUGUAAUAUGCCAGGGAAAUAUGUAUACUCUGGCUAUGAAAGUAAUACUAAGUGUAUGUUAUGUAGUAAGCUGUUAGUAGCCCAUAUGCUUCACCCUGAUAAGUUGGUCCAUUUCCCCCUAAUAACUUAGCCUACUGUUCUGACGUGGUGGUGCAUAUGUAGCCUAUAGCCUGUUGUCGAGAAACCUACUCAUCAAAUAUUGUAAGAGCUUUCAAUGUCUGCUGUACAUGCCCUCAUUUUUUAUCCUACGGUUCUGACUUGGGGUAUAGGGAGAAUACUGUAAGAACGGCCAAUGAUCUGAAUUAUGUCACUGUACAUUUCAAAAGUGCUGAUCAAAUAGUUAUAUUGACUAUGUCCCUCUUUCCUCGCUCAUGAAUGUCUUCAUCAAAAUCAUCGAUUGCCUCAGUUAGUACAUCUCAAUUAUCAGUUGAAAUCACAUUUGUUUAAGUAAGUUAGCUAUGUUUUUUAUGGCAGUAAAUGAGGCUGAAUGAACUGUUUCCCUGCCAGACAAGGCUCCGCUGAUAGCCAGGUGUAGCAGCGGUCAGGAUUCACUCCAUGGUGCUGAAAAAAAAGGUCUGCUGUUGGGACAGCUUUAUGUAGGCCCUACCAAAUUGCGGGCAUCAUUUGUCACCGUUAUAGUGCAAUUAUUGUACUGUUUAGUAUUAUGUUGUAUUGGUAUUGCUGACAUGCAUAAACAUUUUUGGGGUAGUUUGCCCCACCAAGAUUUAGAUGCUAAAAACCAACCAUCAUGAUAACCAGUUUGACCAGUGUUCCAUUUUGCAUAUGUAUGAUGGGAUAAAUAAGCACAACAUCAAACUUUUUCAGUAUUUGGUGAGUGGGCUGACUUAAACCAUUGAUGAUUGUGUCUGAGCAUGAAAUGUAUGCUAAUUUCUCAAUCUGUAUUCUAUUUUCUCAAUCUGGACACAAGUGACAUCUUGCCUGAUAAAUACCUAGAUGGUCUUUUUCGGGAGCAGUGCUUGCAAGAGAACGUGUACAUCAACAUUCAACAUUAAUUUGUUAUUUGAAGACACUCAUUAUCAACAGUUGAAUGCAGAUGAUAACUCUACCAUCGGAAACGUUUUCAUGGAGACACUACGUCGUUCUACAAAACGCUACUUGAGCAAAAUGAAGCAACUUCUAUAGAAAAAUGUUAAAAUAACACAGAAGCCUACAUUGAAUGGUUGUAUUUGAAUCACUUUUUCGUUGUUACAUUUACUCAAUCCAAAUUACUGUGGGGUUUCAUGGUUUCAGGACAACAGUACCUGGGAGGUUGUUCGAAAUGAAAUCGUGUGGAUAUUCAAGAACUUACAGAUUCUACUCGAGUCUAUGCACCAGAAAUGAGCAGAUGUAAUAUAUUUAUGUCAUGCCAUGACUGUAGGCUGCCGAAAUAAACCUGUUGAACCAUUUAACAUAAUUUGUAAUUAACUGACUGCACAAAUACAGUGAAAUUCAUCUCAAGUUUUAAAAUAAUCAUGAAUUAGUUGAUUGGCCAACAAUCUUGAACAAUCAAUGCCAUGAUCAGAUAGUUCAUUGUUACAUGGUAACCUAAUAUAAAGGCUUAACAUAAAAUCUGCAUAAUCAGAAACCUACACCUCCAAUUACACCUCGUUUAUUCAGAUUAAGAUAGCUGACGUUGCCACCGAUGUCUGUUCCUUUCUGUAUGUUUUCAGACAUCUAAAUUCCUGUAGAUUGUGAAAACAGUAUGUCACACACUGCGGUCGCACCUAAACGACUCUUAUCUGUACACACAGACUUAUGACUAAGUCACUUAAGAUUAGCCUGUAUCAGCAAAGUACUAACAUAUAACAAUGGACAAUUCUCUAAGUAAAAACAGCAUAGUAAGUCUAAUUAAACAGCACAGUAAAACCAUGAAUUUUACAUUUCCACCACAUAAUGACGCAGUAUAACAGUGGCGUACAGAACGGCAUUUCAUAAAUAACAAUUUGUGGCUCCUUGUCAUGGAUGGGCUAUUGCAACAGACGACCAAAAUGGGUUCUACUCCUACCAGUUAAAAGCAUGAAGUGGCUCUAGUGGGAAGGCAAUCACGAAAACUGGACAAUUGAGAAGUGGAAAAUGGUUGCUUUGUCCGAUGAAUCCCGGUUCUUUUUGCAUCAUGCUGAUGGCAGUCAGGAUUGGUGUACCUAAUUAACUGACCGCUGAGUGUAUUUUACAUGUUGAUUACUGUGAGGGUGGGGGCAUCUCUAAAUAUAAUGUCCAAAAGAAUAAAAUAAUAUUAUCAUUUUCUUAUUGCUUAAUAUGUCAUUAUUUGUUGUUGUUUUUAUAAAUAUUUUACCACUUUCCACAA